CACGUAGUUAGCCGGAGCUUUCUUGAAAGGUACCGUCACUCCUAUGUCAUUUCCUACAUAGGUCGUUCUUCCCUAACAACAGAAGUUUACAAUCCAUAGGACCGUCAUCCUUCACGCGGCAUUGCUCGUUCAGGGUUUCCCCCAUUGACGAAUAUUCCUAACUGCUGUCUCCCGUAGGAGUCUGGGCCGUGUCUCAGUCCCAGUGUGGCCGAUCACCCUCUCAGGUCGGCUACGCAUCGUUGUCUUGGUAGGCCAUUACCCCACCAACUAACUAAUACGGCGUGGGCUCAUCUUCAAGCGAAGCUUUAAAGGCUCCUUUUAAUAUUAAAUGACAUAUCAUAAAAUAUAUAAUUCGGCAUUAGCAAUCAUUUCUAAUUGUUAUUCCAAACUCGAAGGUAGAUUACCCACGUAUUACUCACCCUUGCGCCACUAGACGGUAAUCCAAAUCCGAAAUUGUGCAAGCACGCAUUCUUCAUUGGGCCAUCUCGUUCGACUUGCAUGUCUUAGG
rnacentral:rRNA from 1 species